rnacentral:rRNA from 1 species
GAGUAACACGUAGCUAACGAACCCUCACGCUGGGGACAACUCCGGGAAACCGGAGCUAAUACCGAAUGAACUGCGAGAGUCUGCGGACUCUUUCGGUAAAGCCGUAAGGCGCGUGAGGAUCGGGCUGCGGCCGAUUAGCUUGAUGGUGGGGUAACGGCCUACCAUGGCGACAAUUGGUAGCUGGCCUGAGAGGAUGAUCAGCCACACUGGAACUGAAACACGGUCCAG